rnacentral:rRNA from 1 species
UCGGGAAUUUUGGGCAAUGGGCGAAAGCCUGACCCAGCAACGCCGCGUGAAGGAUGAAGUAUUUCGGUAUGUAAACUUCGUAAGAAUAGGAAGAAUAAAUGACGGUACUAUUUAGAAGCUGCGGCUAACUACGUGCCAGCAGCCGCGGUAAUACGUAGGCAGCAAACGUUGUUCGGAGUUACUGGGCGUAAAGAGUACGUAGGCGGUUUGCCAAGUUUGGUGUGAAAUCUCCUGGCUUAACUGGGAGGGUGCGCCGAAUACUGACAGACUUGAGUAUUGGAGAGGAAAGCGGAAUUCCUGGUGUAGCGGUGAAAUGCGUAGAUAUCAGGAGGAACACCGGUGGUGUAGACGGCUUUCUGGACAAUCACUGACGCUGAGGUACGAAAGCGUGGGUAGCAAACAGGAUUAGAUACCCCAGUAGUCCCUGAGCGGGCUGGCAAGGCGCAU